rnacentral:rRNA from 1 species
GGGACCCGUCUUGAAACACGGACCAAGGAGUCUAGCAUGUGCGCGAGUCAUUGGGACUCUAACGAAACCUAAAGGCGUAAUGAAAGUGAAGGUUCGCCUAGCGCGGACCGAGGGAGGAUGGACGGUCGAACGUGGCCGUCCCGCACUCCCUGGGCGUCUCGUUCUCAUUGCGAGAAGAGGCGCACCAAGAGCGUACACGCUGGGACCCGAAAGAUGGUGAACUAUGCCUGGUCAGGACGAAGUCAGGGGAAACCCUGAUGGAGGUCCGUAGCGAUUCUGACGUGCAAAUCGAUCGUCGGAACUGGGUAUAGGGGCGAAAGACUAAUCGAACCAUCUAGUAGCUGGUUCCCUCCGAAGUUUCCCUCAGGAUAGCUGGCGCUCGCUUCUCGCGAGUCUCAUUCGGUAAAGCGAAUGAUUAGAGGCAUUGGGGUCGAAACGGCCUCAACCUAUUCUCAAACUUUAAAUGGGUGAGAUCUCCGGCUUGCUUGAACUGUGAAGCCGCGAGAUAUCGGAUCAGAGUGCCAAGUGGGCCACUUUUGGUAAGCAGAACUGGCGCUGUGGGAUGAACCAAACGCCGAGUUAAAGCGCCUAAAUCGACGCUUAUGGGAUACCAUGAAAGGCGUUGGUAACUUAAGACAGCAGGACGGUGGCCAUGGAAGUCGGAA